UGAAAAUGAUUGAAUACAACUUCUGUGGUGAGAAAAACAACUUAAAGAGUAUGAAGACUGGCUAAAGUUGAACUUCAGGCCACGAAAGAUUCUCAAAAGCUGAAGCCGUGAAAGGGGGUUGCAGGGAGCACUCAGAGUUCAUGUUUCUACCUCCACAAAGUACAGAAACAUACAGUUGUUCAUGGAAUGUUUUUGUGUUCCUCCCAGGUGUAGCUGAUAAGACUCUAAUGUCUUCCAUAGCUCUCCAACAAAUAGCAUGACCAAGACAGUCACAGCAGCACCUCAUGCCUGGUCACGACUUCUGUCCUAGUCAGCCUUCUAUUGCUGUGAAGAGACACCGUAACCAGUGGAAAUAAAAGGAAGCUUUUACUUGGGUGGCUUGCUUUCAUAUUAGAGGGAGAAUAGUCUCCAUGUCAAAGGGGACAUCCUGACUUUCUAGGAUCACCAGGAUUACCAUCUCCACAAGAGACACCUUCUUACAACCGGAGACAAAUAAACUUGUUCAGAAUUUAAGAGCCAGUGGAAUGCCUUUGGGCUUGGGCUCACUGGUUACUUAAAUCAAAUAAUUUUCUUCUUCUGGAUGUCUUAAAUCCCAAUGAUCACCAUAGGACACAUUAGAAAGACCAUGAAAAUUCUGGAAGGUUCCAUAGG
ensembl:lincRNA Gm14100 predicted gene 14100